rnacentral:rRNA from 1 species
CCCUUAGAUGUCCUGGGCCGCACGCGCGCUACACUGAACGGAUCAGCGCGUUUUCCCUUCCCGAGAGGGACGGGUAACCUGCUGAACCCCGUUCGUGGUAGGGAUCGGGGCUUGCAAUUAUUCCCCGUGAACCAGGAAUGCCCAGUAAGUGCAAGUCAUAAGCUUGCGUUGAUUACGUCCCUGCCCUUUGUACACUCCGCCCGUCGCUACUACCGAUUGAACGUUUUAGUGAGGUACUCGGACUGAGCCUCAGAAGAUUCACGUCUUUUGUGCUGCUCGGGAAGAUUCCCAAACUUGAGCGUUUAGAGGAAGUAAAAGUCGUAACA